ensembl:lncRNA
UGUUUGAAAACACAUUUUUGCGUUUGUUUCUUUUAUCAGAAGUCAUGUUUUGAAGUGGAUACUAUUGUGUGUUUUACUCAAAUUCUUCAGUUUGCGUUUCUUUUGUUUAUAGAUAAGGAUAGUGAGACAUGGAGAGAAGGAAUAUAUUAUUGCUCUAAUGUCAAGACAAAUUAAUCUAGCAUCUACAUGUCUCAGUGAAACUGCUUGUUUGCAAUUACUUUAUUAACGGAAAGUUGUUGAUUCUGGUAAAAUUAAUUAACCCUAAUUCAUUAUGUGAUUCCAGAAUAUUCAAGAACUGUAUGUUCUUCAUUAAAAUUGUUAUUUAGGGGAAAAAUGUCAUAUCUGCAUCUUGAUUGUAGUCCUUUGUAUGUUUUUAGAUGUCUUACGAGUUUCCCUCCCAGAAGUCUUCGUAUGAAAUCUACACCACUGCAGGACCAGCAGAAAGGCGGUCAUCCUGAAGCAGGCGGGAAGAGAGACUCAAUGAAGUAUGCUGAUGUCCGAUGAUCGCAGCAUGAUCCUUGAUGUGUUCAAUGUAUUCUACUUUCCAUGGGGCAGAAAGACCUGCAUCCUAAAAUACAGUCUUUGACAAACCUAUCUGGUUAAAAAGUAAAAAACGUCUCUAGGUUACGUAUGUAACUCUAGUUCCUCGAGGGAACGAGGCGCUGCGUCGAACGCUUUGGGGAACGAGUACCAACGCUGGCAGACUACCAAACCCCUGCCUAGUGUGUAUCCGAAGAGCACAGCUUAGGACGAGAGGACAGAAGCGCCUGGAGUGACUGGCAUGUCUAAGCCAUAAAAUUUUGCAAAAGUAGAGGGCGUGGACCACCCCGCAGCGUUGCAGAUGUCCAGCAUGGAUACACCUCCUAAGAAGGCCUUGGAGACCGCCAUACCCCGAGUAGAGUGAGCCUUGGCUCCCAGGAGCGGGGGAAGACCAGAGGACUCAUAGGUGGCGUUGAUAGCCUCGAAUAUCCAAUGACUAAUAGUCUGCUUAGAAGCAGGAGAACCCCUCUUGGGGGGACUGUAGCAUACAAGCAAUUGGACUGUUUUUCUCCACAGGGCAGCUCUGUGGACGUAUGCGGCCCGUGCUCGCACUGGACACAUACAAUUUAGCUUCGCUUGGUCGGGCUCCCGAAAGGGAGGAGGCCAGAAGGCCUGCAGCACUACAGGGCGUGGUGCGACAGAGGGAACCUUAGGAACAUAUCCCGCUCGAGGGUAUAUGCACGCUUUGGUCAUGCCAGGUGCAAAAUCAAGAUAGGUAGGGGCCAAUGAGAGGGCCUGCAAAUCUCCGACUCUCCCCAACAGAAAGGCGGUUUUAAGCGUCAGAUGUCUGUCUGAAAUAUUUUGAAUAGGCUCAAACGGAGGUUUGCACAACGCCUCUAACACCACAACCAAGUACCACGGGGGAAUACGGGACCGUACUGGAGGUCUCAGCCUUAGCGCACCGCGGAGGAAACGUGUAACUAAGGGGUGUCUUCCCAAAGACUGACCAUCGAGAAGGGCGUGG